rnacentral:rRNA from 1 species
CCUACGGUGGACUGCAGUGGGGAAUAUUGCACAAUGGGGGGAACCCUGAUGCAGCGACGCCGCGUGGGUGAAGAAGCGCCUCGGCGCGUAAAACCCUGUCAGCAGGGAAGAAAAUGACGGUACCUGAAGCAUAAGCCCCGGCUAACUACGUGCCAGCAGCCGCGGUAAUACGGAGGAGGCAAGCGUUAUCCGGAUUUACUGGGUGUAAAGGGGGCGCAGACGGGGUUGCAAGUCAGGAGUGAAAGCUCGGGGCCCAACCCUGGAAUUGCAUUUGGAACUGCGUGGCUGGAGUGCAGGAGGGACAGGCGGAAUUCGUGGUGUAGCGGUGAAAUGCGUAGAGAUCAGGAGGAACACCGGUGGCGAAGGCGGCUUGCUGGACUGCAACUGACGUUGAGGCCCGAAAGCGUGGGGAGCAAACAGGAUUAGAUACCCGAGUAGUC